rnacentral:rRNA from 1 species
CAGUCGCCACGGUAAUACAGAGGGUGCGAGCGUUAAUCGGAUUUACUGGGCGUAAAGCGUGCGUAGGCGGCUUCUUAAGUCGGAUGUGAAAUCCCUGAGCUUAACUUAGGAAUUGCAUUAGAUACUGGGAAGCUAGAGUAUGGGAGAGGAUGGUAGAAUUCCAGGUGUAGCGGUGAAAUGCGUAGAGAUCUGGAGGAAUACCGAUGGCGAAGGCAGCCAUCUGGCCUAAUACUGACGCUGAGGUACGAAAGCAUGGGGAGCAAACAGGAUUAGAUACCCCGGUAGUCCCUGUCUCUUAUAA